GACGAACGCUGGCGGCGUGCCUAAUACAUGCAAGUAGAACGCAGUUGCGAACGGGUGAGUAACGCGUAGGUAACUGCCUCAUAGCGGGGGAUAACUAUUUGAAACGAUAGCUAAUACCGCCUACUGUGAGAUGGACCUGCGUUGUAUUUGGUAGUUGGUGAGGUAAAGGCUCACCAAGGCGACGAUACAUAGCCGACCUGAGAGGGUGGUCGGCCACACUGGGACUGGGGCAAGGCCCAGGAUCCUUCGGGAGGCAGCAAGAGGGAAACUUCGGAAAAGGGCGGAAGUCUGGACGAGCAACGGCGCGGGAGAUAAGGAGGUUUUCGGGUCGUAAAGCUCUGUUGUUCGAGAAGCGUUAACUAACCAGAAAGGGCCGGCUAACUACGUGCCAGCAGCCGCGGUAAUAC
rnacentral:rRNA from 1 species